UACGUAGGUGGCAAGCGUUGUCCGGAAUCAUUGGGCGUAAAGCGCGUGUAGGCGGUUCGGUAAGUCUGCUGUGAAAGUCCAGGGCUCAACCCUGGGAUGCCGGUGGAUACUGUCGGGCUAGAGUGCGGAAGAGGCGAGUGGAAUUCCCGGUGUAGCGGUGAAAUGCGCAGAUAUCGGGAGGAACACCAAUUGCGAAGGCAGCUCGCUGGGACGUCACUGACGCUGAGACGCGAAAGCGUGGGGAGCAAACAGG
rnacentral:rRNA from 1 species